rnacentral:rRNA from 1 species
AUACGUAGGGGGCAAGCGUUGUCCGGAAUUACUGGGCGUAAAGGGUGCGCAGGCGGCUUGGUUAGUCAGAAGUGAAAGUUUGCAGCUUAACUGUAAAAGUGCUUUUGAUACUGCCUGGCUUGAGUCUCGGAGGGGUAAGCGGAAUUCCUAGUGUAGCGGUAAAAUGCGUAGAGAUUAGGAAGAACACCGGCGGCGAAGGCGGCUUACUGGACGAGUACUGACGCUCAUGCACGAAAGCGUGGGAAGCAAACAGGAUUAGAUACCCUGGUAGUCCAUGCCGUAAACGAUGAAUACUAGCUGUUGGGGCAACUCAGUAGCGCAGUUAACACAUUAAGUAUUCCGCCUGGGGAGUACGCACGCAAGGGUAAAACUCAAAGGAAUUGACGGGG